UGGGGAAUAUUGGACAAUGGGCGAAAGCCUGAUCCAGCCAUGCCGCGUGAGUGACGAAGGCCUUAGGGUUGUAAAACUCUUUCGUCGGGGACGAUAAUGACGGUACCCGAAGAAGAAGCUCCGGCUAACUUCGUGCCAGCAGCCGCGGUAAUACGAAGGGAGCUAGCGUUGUUCGGAAUCACUGGGCGUAAAGCGCACGUAGGCGGAUAGUUAAGUCAGGGGUGAAAUCCUGGGGCUCAACCCCAGAACUGCCUUUGAUACUGGCUGUCUCGAGGUCGAGAGAGGUUGGUGGAAUUCCUAGUGUAGAGGUGAAAUUCGUAGAUAUUAGGAAGAACACCAGUGGCGAAGGCGGCCAACUGGCUCGAUACUGACGCUGAGGUGCGAAAGCGUGGGGAGCAAACAGGAUUAGAUACCCCAGUAGUCCCUGAGCGGGCUGGCAAGGCGCAU
rnacentral:rRNA from 1 species